rnacentral:rRNA from 1 species
AACGAACGCUGGCGGCAGGCCUAACACAUGCAAGUCGAGCGAGGACUUCGGUCCUAGCGGCGGACGGGUGAGUAACGCGUGGGAACGUGCCCCUUGCUUCGGAAUAGCCCUGGGAAACUGGGAGUAAUACCGAAUGUGCCCUUCGGGGGAAAGAUUUAUCGGCAAAGGAUCGGCCCGCGUUGGAUUAGGUAGUUGGUGGGGUAACGGCCUACCAAGCCGACGAUCCAUAGCUGGUUUGAGAGGAUGAUCAGCCACACUGGGACUGAGACACGGCCCAGACUCCUACGGGAGGCAGCAGUGGGGAAUCUUAGACAAUGGGCGGAAGCCUGAUCUAGCCAUGCCGCGUGAGCGAUGAAGGCCUUAGGGUUGUAAAGCUCUUUCAGCGAGGAAGAUAAUGUCUGUACUCGCAGAAGAAGCCCCGGCUAACUCCGUGCCAGCAGCCGCCGUAACAC